AACGCAUAUUGCACUCUCUGGUAAUCCGGGGAGUAUGCCUGUUUGAGGGUCAGUAAAUAAUAAUUAUCAUAAUCUUUUGAUUGUGGAAUUGGGCUUUUAUUUCAUUUUAAUGAUUUAUGGCCUUAAAUUUAUGUUACCGCUUGUUUAAUAUGAAAUUCGACCGAAUGGAGCAAUUAAACAUUCUCUCGUUAGGCGGAUUCAUCAAGCAAUUACGAUUUUUUGGCCGUCGAAGCACUUUUUUUUUUAGAAGUGCUUGGUCGAGAUUGUAAGAUACAUUUUUAACAAUGACCUCAAAUCAGGCAAGAAUACCCGCUGAACUUAA
rnacentral:misc_RNA from 1 species